GGACUUUGGAGUCAGAAAGACUCCAUGUUCGGGACCUGCUACUUCCUAACCAUGUCAUCGUGGGAACCAAAUAUAGACCAUGACAAUAGAGCAGCAUCAGAUAUGGUGAAAAUCAUAAUGCUGGUCUCCUUACAAAAUCAUGACACUGAAACAGAAGAGGCAAACAAGGUAACAUGCAGCACUAAGUGAAGUCAAUUUUGUGAAAGCAGUGAAUUGAAGUCACAUGCGAGACCCCAGGAGCGACCAGCAGAAGAACCACCUGCCUGAUCCCAACCCAAAUUGCUGACCUGUAGAACUGUGGGCCAUUUCAUAGUUUUGUGUUUCAAAACCAUAAAAAACCAAAAGUGAUGGUUUUCUCUGCAGUGAUAGAUAAGUACUACAGAAAUCUUUGGAGUUUCAAAUAAGGUGUGAAAUAAAAUUUUUAUCGUUUAA